rnacentral:rRNA from 1 species
AGUCGAGCGGUAACAGAUCCAGCUUGCUGGAUGCUGACGAGCGGCGGACGGGUGAGUAAUGCAUAGGAAUCUGCCCGAUAGUGGGGGAUAACCUGGGGAAACCCAGGCUAAUACCGCAUACGUCCUACGGGAGAAAGGGGGCUCCGGCUCCCGCUAUGGGAUGAGCCUAUGUCGGAUUAGCUAGUUGGUGAGGUAACGGCUCACCAAGGCCACGAUCCGUAGCUGGUCUGAGAGGAUGAUCAGCCACAUCGGGACUGAGACACGGCCCGAACUCCUACGGGAGGCAGCAGUGGGGAAUAUUGGACAAUGGGGGAAACCCUGAUCCAGCCAUGCCGCGUGUGUGAAGAAGGCCCUCGGGUUGUAAAGCACUUUCAGCGAGGAAGAACGCCUAGCGGUUAAUACCCGCUAGGAAAGACAUCACUCGCAGAAGAAGCACCGGCUAACUCCGUGCCAGCAGCCGCGGUAAUACGGAGGGUGCAAGCGUUAAUCGGAAUUACUGGGCGUAAAGCGCGCGUAGGUGGCUUGAUAAGCCGGUUGUGAAAGCCCCGGGCUCAACCUGGGAACGGCAUCCGGAACUGUCAAGCUAGAGUGCAGGAGAGGAAGGUAGAAUUCCCGGUGUAGCGGUGAAAUGCGUAGAGAUCGGGAGGAAUACCAGUGGCGAAGGCGGCCUUCUGGACUGACACUGACACUGAGGUGCGAAAGCGUGGGUAGCAGACAGGAUUAGAUACCCUGGUAGUCCACGCCGUAAACGAUGUCGACCAGCCGUUGGGUGCCUAGCGCACUUUGUG